rnacentral:rRNA from 1 species
UCGAGAAUAGUCUACAAUGGCCGGAAGGCUGAUAGUGCGACGCCGCGUGAACGAGGGAGCCCUUCGGGGUGUAAAGUUCUUUUCUAUACGAGCAGUGCUAUAUAUAUUCAAAGUAUAUAUAGAGGGAUAGUAGUAUAGGAAUAAGCAACGGCUAACUCCGUGCCAGCAGCCGCGGUAACACGGGGGUUGCGAGCGUUGUCCGGAAUUACUAGGCGUAAAGGGCAGGUAGGCGGAUCUACGAGUUUUUUGUUAAAGGCUACGGCUUAACUGUAGUAAGGCAGGAGAUACUGUAGGUCUGGAAUGCGGUAGGGGAAGACAGAAUUCCUGGUGUAGCGGUGGAAUGCGCAGAGAUCAGGAGGAAUACCGAAGGCGAAGGCAGUCUUCUAGGCCGUAAUUGACGCUUAACUGCGAAGGUGUGGGGAUCAAACAGG